rnacentral:rRNA from 1 species
UACGUAGGGUGCAAGCGUUAAUCGGAAUUACUGGGCGUAAAGCGUGCGCAGGCGGUUUUGUAAGUCUGUCGUGAAAGCCCCGGGCUCAACCUGGGAAUUGCGCUUGAUACUGGUGCGCUUGAAUCCAGGAGAGGUUGGUGGAAUUCCCAGUGUAGAGGUGAAAUUCGUAGAUAUUGGGAAGAACACCGGUGGCGAAGGCGGCGACCUGGUCCGAUACUGACGCUGAGGCGUGAAAGCGUGGGGAGCAAACAGG